ensembl:lncRNA
AUCAACCUCUGCCUGCAAGGACUCUCGGCAGAGCUGAACAGGAGCAACGGAAGAUUCGUCUCUGAUGGUAGUUCGGUCUCGUUUGCUACAAUGAAUCCACUCUUAGGACUGGCCUGUUAACCAACAACAUAUCACCUCAGUUUUGCAACAUUUCAUGUGAGCAGAGAAUAUAGCCCUGUAUACUUCAGACUUAAUCCUGCCACUUCUAUCAGGCAUGAAUACUAGUGCUGAAAGUUUCUUCUCCAUUCUUAUUCCUAUCAUUCAGGUACAAGUUAAACUUGGUUUCCUCUGUCUAAAGAUUUAUUCUUUUUUUUUUUUUUUUUUUUUUUGAAGUAAGCAGGCUUUUUUGUUUUCUGGCAAAGUAUGAUCUGUUCUUGAGUGUAACUGUCACUGGGGGCCAAAGGUCUGUACAAAACUGGACUCAUGUGCUGAACCACGUGCAGAGAUGGCUGAGUUAAAUUCACACAAACUUUUAUUUGGCACAAAAACACAGAGUUAUACUUGGCAGGGGAUUUGUGACAAGAUAAGCUAGCGUGAUGGGCUAGGGGUGGCAAGCUCAGGGUUUGGCUGGUUGCGUGUGGAGCUAGAGGUCUCACUGAAAAGAGAGAAAAAGGAGGUUAGUGGAUGCAUGGACUUGUCCAGGGAAGAUAGCUGUACUGAGUUUUUUGCGUGGCUUUCUUUUGCAGGUGGAAAACUAGGCUUGGUCCGAGUGACGAGUUACGUGCAAAGAAGAUGAGCGGAUCUGAAUUCCAGGGCUCCCUGUGAGCUAUGGUGGCAGGAGAGCAGGCAGGUGAGUGUGGUGAGGAUUUUCUUCCUGGAGAUUGAAGCGUGGCGUAGAUCAGGUGAGGGCUGUGACCAGUGUCCAAAAGGAGAGUUCCGUUAUAUUUUGCUUUUGCUUUACCAAGACAGCCUGUUCUUUUUUUAUGAUGAAACCAGAUGAGAUUUAGAGAAGGAUCUGAGAAGAGGCGGGAAGGGGGAUGGAUUUUUUUUUCCCUCUGACACCAGAGACGAGAACUACAACAUCCGAUUGUCAUUUCAGAGGAAAAACCUCAGGGGUGUCUAAGUUAUGGACAUGACAACAAAUGCUGUUUUAUUGCCCGUGAUGCACUCUGUUUGUCCAUUCUGCGCUAUCUCUGUGAUGAUUCUGUCCCUGAUUUCCUGGCUUGUGUCUUCAGUUGUCUACAAGUGGAUUAAGUCUGUCUUUCUAUUCUUUUUACUGGCAGUCCCUGUGUUUUUCAGGCUUCAUUUUAUUUUGUUUUUUUUUCUUUACGUCAGCCUUUAUGCCUGUCAGAAGCUUAAAAAAUACACUGUAAAUCCCCUGCUGUUGUUACUGAUGAAAGAUUCCCUAAUAAUCUGUUCAAUGUUCAAUUCUCUGGCUAAAUGUGAUUCAUCUAUCAAUCUGUUGUUUUGAACUACCUUUGGCUCCCUUUGUAUUCCUACAGUGGUACUAGUAUUAAAUGUACUUUGAGCUGUAGAACUGGCUUUACAAUUGUGGUUCCAUUAAAUGCUUUAGUUGGAACAGCAUUUGGUUGUUGUUAUGUAUUGUCAUUUAAUGAGCUGUCCUCUGGCAUAUGAAAUAUUCCCGCUAAUGAUUCAUCAGCAAUCAUCUCUCAUAUGGUCAAAAAUAGUAUGACAGUACAACACAAUGCUGAUGAAGUGCAGGUCUAUGUGUUGUUCACAACAUUUUAGGGGUUCAUGAAGUGGAGGAGUGUUUACACAUGUAUACACA